GAUGAAGAACGUAGCGAAAUGCGAUACGUAAUGUGAAUUGCAGAAUUCAGUGAAUCAUCGAGUCUUUGAACGCACAUUGCGCCCCCUGGUAUUCCGGGGGGCAUGCCUGUCCGAGCGUCAUUGCUGCCCUCAAGCCCGGCUUGUGUGUUGGGUCUCGUCCCCCUUCCCGGGGGGACGGGCCCGAAAGGCAGCGGCGGCACCGCGUCCGGUCCUCGAGCGUAUGGGGCUUUGUCACCCGCUCUGUAGGCCCGGCCGGCGCUUGCCGAUCAACCAAAACUUUUUUCCAGGUUGACCUCGGAUCAGGUAGGGAUACCCGCUGAACUUAAGCAUAUCAAUAAGCGGAGGA
rnacentral:misc_RNA from 1 species